CCUACGGGUGGCAGCAGUGGGGGAUAUUGCACAAUGGGGGAAACCCUGAUGCAGCGACGCCGCGUGGGUGAAGAAGCGCCUCGGCGCGUAAAGCCCUGUCAGCAGGGAAGAAAAUGACGGUACCUGAAGAAGAAGCCCCGGCAAACCACGUGCCAGCAGCCGCGGUAAUACGUAGGGGGCAAGCGUUAUCCGGAUUGACGGGGUGUAAAGGGGGCGCAGACGGCGAUGCAAGCCAGGAGUGAAAGCCCGGGGCCCAACCCCGGGACUGCUCUUGGAACUGCGUGGCUAGAGUGCAGGAGGGGCAGGCGGAAUUCCUGGUGUAGCGGUGAAAUGCGUAGAUAUCAGGAGGAACACCGGUGGCGAAGGCGGCCUGCUGGACUGCAACUGACGUUGAGGCCCGAAAGCGUGGGGAGCAAACAGGAUUAGAUACCCUUGUAGUC
rnacentral:rRNA from 1 species